CACGUAGGGGGCAAGCGUUGUCCGGAUUUAUUGGGCGUAAAGAGCUCGUAGGCGGUUCGGUAAGUCGGGUGUGAAACCUCCAGGCUCAACCUGGAGAGGCCACCUGAUACUGCUGUGACUCGAGUCCGGUAGGGGAGCGUGGAAUUCCUGGUGUAGCGGUGAAAUGCGCAGAUAUCAGGAGGAACACCAGCGGCGAAGGCGGCGCUCUGGGCCGGUACUGACGCUGAGACGCGAAAGCGUGGGGAGCGAACAGG
rnacentral:rRNA from 1 species